rnacentral:rRNA from 1 species
GGGGAAUUUUCCGCAAUGGGCGAAAGCCUGACGGAGCAAGACCGCGUGGGGGAAGAAGGCUCUUGGGUUGUAAACCCCUUUUCUCUGGGAAGAACACAAUGACGGUACCAGAGGAAUCAGCAUCGGCUAACUCCGUGCCAGCAGCCGCGGUAAGACGGAGGAUGCAAGCGUUAUCCGGAAUGAUUGGGCGUAAAGCGUCCGCAGGUGGCAGUUCAAGUCUGCUGUCAAAGACCGGGGCUUAACCUCGGAAAGGCAGUGGAAACUGAACAGCUAGAGUAUGGUAGGGGCAAAGGGAAUUCCUGGUGUAGCGGUGAAAUGCGUAGAGAUCAGGAAGAACAUCGGUGGCGAAGGCGCUUUGCUGGACCAUAACUGACACUCAGGGACGAAAGCUAGGGGAGCGAAAGGGAUUAGAUA